rnacentral:rRNA from 1 species
GAUACGGGUGGCAGCAGGGGGGAAUAUUGCGCAAUGGGGGAAACCCUGACGCAGCAACGCCGCGUGAGUGAAGAAGGUUUUCGGAUCGUAAAGCUCUGUCUUUGGGGACGAACAAAAUGACGGUACCCAAGGAGGAAGCCCCGGCUAACUACGUGCCAGCAGCCGCGGUAAUACGUAGGGAGCAAGCGUUGUCCGGAAUCACUGGGCGUAAAGAGCACGUAGGCGGUCUAUUAAGUUAGAUGUGAAAGUUUGCAGCUUAACUGUAAAAGUGCAUCUAAUACUGGCAGACUUGAGUCUCGGAGAGGUAAGCGGAAUUCCUAGUGUAGCGGUGAAAUGCGUAGAGAUUAGGAAGAACACCGGUGGUGAAGGCGGCUUACUGGACGAGUACUGACGCUCAGGUGCGAAAGCGUGGGGAGCAAACA